UACUAAACAGACAGACAGACCUCA
rnacentral:piRNA from 1 species